UACAGAGGUCUCAAGCGUUGUUCGGAUUCAUUGGGCGUAAAGGGUGCGUAGGUGGCGCCAUAAGUCAGGUGUGAAAUCUCGGGGCUUAACUCCGAAACUGCAUUUGAUACUGUGGUGCUUGAGGACUGGAGAGGAGACUGGAAUUCACGGUGUAGCAGUGAAAUGCGUAGAGAUCGUGAGGAAGACCAGUGGCGAAGGCGGGUCUCUGGACAGUUCCUGACACUGAGGCACGAAGGCCAGGGGAGCAAAACGGG
rnacentral:rRNA from 1 species